rnacentral:rRNA from 1 species
CACUUGUUGGUGAGGUAGUGGCUCACCAAGGCGACGACGGGUAGCCGGCCUGAGAGGGCGACCGGCCACACUGGGACUGAGACACGGCCCAGACUCCUACGGGAGGCAGCAGUGGGGAAUAUUGCACAAUGGGCGAAAGCCUGAUGCAGCGACGCCGCGUGAGGGAUGACGGCCUUCGGGUUGUAAACCUCUUUCAGCAGGGAAGAAGCGAGAGUGACGGUACCUGCAGAAGAAGCGCCGGCUAACUACGUGCCAGCAGCCGCGGUAAUACGUAGGGCGCAAGCGUUGUCCGGAAUUAUUGGGCGUAAAGAGCUCGUAGGCGGCUUGUCACGUCGGUUGUGAAAGCCCGGGGCUUAACCCCGGGUCUGCAGUCGAUACGGGCAGGCUAGAGUUCGGUAGGGGAGAUCGGAAUUCCUGGUGUAGCGGUGAAAUGCGCAGAUAUCAGGAGGAACACCGGUGGCGAAGGCGGAUCUCUGGGCCGAUACUGACGCUGAGGAGCGAAAGCGUGGGGAGCGAACAGGAUUAGAUACCCUGGUAGUCCACGCCGUAAACGGUGGGCACUAGGUGUGGGCAACAUUCCACGU